rnacentral:snoRNA from 1 species
AGCCACUGAUGAAAGUCAAAUAUACUUUUCUGACACCUCGUAUGAGAGCUAAGCUCCUGAUUCCAAUGCAGAUCUGAGGUUC